CCUUGAGCUCACUUUGUAGCCCAGGCUGGCCUCAAACUCACAGUGAUCCUCCUGCCUCAGCCUCCUGAGUGCUGGGAU
rnacentral:miRNA from 1 species